GUCAGAGACUCACCAGCAAGUGACCCGUACAGAGCGCUCGCUAAGAAUUCUGGGUAAACACCUACUGUCUGUUCAGAGGGAGAAAAAACAGCUGGAGAAGAGACUGCAGCGAGCUGAGGAGGCCCUAAACAACCAAGCCAGGUGCCAACAUCAACCUGCCUGUCUCUUGGGGAAGGAGGCGGAGUCUAAACCAGCCGUUACUUUAAUGACAUGCCCCGCCCUCACAAGCCACGCCCCCUGCGUAUUAAGCACCAAAACUCAAGGGAAGAGAACAGCAAAGAUGAAGAAAAAGAAAUUGAAAACAAGAAUAAUGAGAGAAGAUGGAAAUGAUUAAAUACAUGAGUGUGUGCUGACAAUCAUUAUCAAUCUUUAUCCUUAUGAAAAAAUGUGUGUGUGUGUGUGUGUGUGCCACAAAUUCUUUAAAAGUGAUCAAAGUUAGAAACAAUAAACACAUUUUUGUUGCA